GUGCUCUUGAUGGAGAGAGUGGGAGGUCCUAAGAAAGGUCUGGCUAUGGUGGGCCUCGCGGUCCUUAUCGUGGGGGACGUGGAGGUUUUGGUGAUGGGGAAGCUGGUGAAGAUGGGCAACCACGACGAGUCUAUGAACGUCGCAGUGGGAGAGGGAACUGGGGACUACCAACUGAUGAACUUGCCCAGGCAACUGAUGAUGUAAAUGAAACUGCUAAGAAUUUUGGCGAAGAAAAGCCUUCUGGUGAUAAUAAUGAUGUUGCUGCUGAUGGAAACAAGGAGAAUCCUGCUAAUGAGGAUGAAGAAAAAGAGCCUGAGGAUAAGGGGCAAUCCAAAGGAAGAACCUGGUGCAAUUGUUUGCAGGGUCAUACCAAAUACAUGCCUCCAGAGGUGAGGAGGACCUUGGCCUUGUCCGUGUUUUGGCAGACUAUACUAUCAAGCACCACUGUCUUUACAUUGAAAACAUGAGUAAGAGUGAAGGCUUAUCUUUUUCUCCACUGGUGAUGAAGAUCAUUCUGUUGUAGACCUUACUUCAAAAAGUAUGCAGCNNGGGUGGUGGAGGUUGCUGAGCGUACUGCUUCCUUGAUUGCUAGAUGGCAGGGGGUUGGUUUCACUCAUGGUGGAGGAUUUGACUGCUAGACAAGUUUAUGAGAAACUUUUGGAGGCUGUGCAACCUUAACGUUGUUUGUUUAGCUUUAGUAUCCAUGGUAUCUGUCUGCUUCUAUGAGGUUCAUUUGCAUUUUCCAUAUUAAGGCAGGGAGGUUUAAAUUUCAGUUGUAAUGUUGUUUACUUAGAUUCUCACAAAGCAGUUGGCUACGGUGCAAUAGAAACCUUGCUUGUCAUGCUCAUGUACUAUAACACUUGAUUGGAUGGUAUUAGGUGAACAAAAUCUACAUGGUUACNAGAUAAACGCAUCAAAAUCCUUCUCUUUUUCGAUAUAUUAAGGGUAAAUUAUUUAUUGGACUCUAGUUUCA